CAUUCAUUCCUGGAACGAAGGAACUUUGAAGUCGUUUUCUCGGGCAGUGCGCGAGCUUCCCGCACGCGAGACUGCAUAGAAAAGUGCUGCUCCCCGCCCCUCCGGGUGGAAGCCCGCGCACCGGGAGCGUCGAGUUGCAGCUGCGAGUUGCUCUCGCCAUUAAGAACCACUUGCAGCAGAGUUCAGACCCCAAAUCUUACUUUUGAUUUGUUUCCCUAUCUUUUAUUUUUUCAUGCUUACUACUGCUUUGGGGGCCUUUUUUCUGUUCUUCACUGCAAAAAGGAAUCGAGCAUUAAUAAAUAAAUAAAACGGCAUUCGUCGGGAAGGUAGGCAUUUGCUCGCUCUCCCGUCUCCCCAGUUCUAUUUUGAGAACGUUCCUCUCUUUCUUGAAAACUUUCAGGGUCCUCCAGUAACAGGAAAGCAAGCGGGACGAGUCGCCUGCCUGUCCAGAGGGCACUGAAGGAUCCCACUUCAGCACUUCAAGCUGGCUUGUAAGGUCCAGGCUAGUCCUCUGUGGUUGCAUUUCAAAAAGCAUAGAAGUAGAACUGGAAGAUAUUUUGGAGAUCAUCUAGUCCAGCCCUUUGCUCAGUGCCGAGUCUUGCAACCAAAGCAUCCCUGAGAGAUAACCACCCGGGCUAAAUGCAAAGAUAGACGUGGCAUCUUCCUGUGAUUCACAGGUUCUCUGUGAGAUGAUCAGAGGAAAGGCG